GAGAUUUGGAACUAUUGCUUUGCUGGAAACAUCUGGCUGCCGGUCUAGAACAUGACUCCAGAUUCUCCAUCUACUGUGUGGUGAUGCUAUUACUUUGGGACCUAUCAAUUUGGGCUCCUUCCAGAACUGAAAACUGGUUACAAAUAUGAAACAGAUUUCACUACUGGACUUGAACUCCACAUAAGAAAAAAAAACAAAAAACCAAGAAGAUCCUUAAAGAUCCUCAUCAAAGAAUAGAUGCCGUGUG